GAGUUUGAUCAUGGCUCAGAUUGAACGCUGGCGGCAUGCUUUACACAUGCAAGUCGAACGGGGUGAGGGGGCAACUCCUCAUUCAGUGGCGAACGGGUGAGUAAUGCAUCGGAACGUGUCCCGUAGUGGGGGAUAACGCCGCGAAAGCGGCGCUAAUACCGCAUACGCUCUAUGGAGGAAAGCAGGGGACCCGCGAGGGCCUUGUGCUAGGGGGCGGCCGAUGUCCGAUUAGCUGGUUGGUGGGGUAAUGGCCUACCAAGGCGACGAUCGGUAGCUGGUCUGAGAGGAUGAUCAGCCACACUGGAACUGAGACACGGUCCAGACUCCUACGGGAGGCAGCAGUGGGGAAUCUUGCGCAAUGGGCGAAAGCCUGACGCAGCGACGCCUCGUGAGUGAUGAAGGCCUUCGGUUGUAAG
rnacentral:rRNA from 1 species